AGCCGCAUGCGGCUCGCGAGCCGCAGGUUGCCGACCCCUGUUCCAGGGCGAGGCCUGCACAUUGCACUUCGUGUGGGUUGACCCCUGCGAUCACCCCAAAUGUGGGUGACUCGGGUGCGUAAUUUUUUCGUAGGGGGGACUGCGUUCGCGCUAUCCCCUG